rnacentral:rRNA from 1 species
AAAGGGGAUCAGCGGUCGAAAGGGGCACAGGCGGAAAGGUGCUUGCACCUUUCAAGUGAGUGGCGAAGGGUGAGUAACACGUGGACAACCUGCCUCAAGGCUGGGGAUAACAUUUGGAAACAGAUGCUAAUACCGAAUAAAACUUAGUGUCGCAUGACACAAAGUUAAAAGGCGCUUCGGCGUCACCUAGAGAUGGAUCCGCGGUGCAUUAGUUAGUUGGUGGGGUAAAGGCCUACCAAGACAAUGAUGCAUAGCCGAGUUGAGAGACUGAUCGGCCACAUUGGGACUGAGACACGGCCCAAACUCCUACGGGAGGCUGCAGUAGGGAAUCUUCCACAAUGGGCGAAAGCCUGAUGGAGCAACGCCGCGUGUGUGAUGAAGGCUUUCGGGUCGUAAAGCACUGUUGUAUGGGAAGAACAGCUAGAAUAGGAAAUGAUUUUAGUUUGACGGUACCAUACCAGAAAGGGACGGCUAAAUACGUGCCAGCAGCCGCGGUAAUACGUAUGUCCCGAGCGUUAUCCGGAUUUAUUGGGCGUAAAGCGAGCGCAGACGGUUUAUUAAGUCUGAUGUGAAAGCCCGGAGCUCAACUCCGGAAUGGCAUUGGAAACUGGUUAACUUGAGUGCAGUAGAGGUAAGUGGAACUCCAUGUGUAGCGGUGGAAUGCGUAGAUAUAUGGAAGAACACCAGUGGCGAAGGCGGCUUACUGGACUGCAACUGACGUUGAGGCUCGAAAGUGUGGGUAGCAAACAGGAUUAGAUACCCUGGUAGUCCACACCGUAAACGAUGAACACUAGGUGUUAGGAGGUUUCCGCCUCUUAGUGCCGAAGCUAACGCAUUAAGUGUUCCGCCUGGGGAGUACGACCGCAAGGUUGAAACUCAAAGGAAUUGACGGGGACCCGCACAAGCGGUGGAGCAUGUGGUUUAAUUCGAAGCAACGCGAAGAACCUUACCAGGUCUUGACAUCCUUUGAAGCUUUAGAAGAUAGAAAUGUUCUCUUCGGAGACAAAGUGACAGGUGGUGCAGGGUCGUCCUCACCUCCUGUCCUGAGAAAAUUUGGGUUAAAUCCCGCACCAGCGCCACCCCUUUUUGUUAGUUUGCCGCCAUUCUAAAGGGGGCCCCUUCCGAGACUGCCGGGGACAAACCGCAAGAAAGGGGGG